AAAGAUUCUGCAACCAGCUCCCUAGCAAUGCAGAUUUAUAAGGCAUGUAUUGAGCUCAAGAUUCUAAGGGGCAGAAGAGGAGAGCAUUAGCCCAUGCCCUGGUGUGAAGGUCCUCUGCAACCCAGCUGAAGAAUGAAGGCACCGUAGAGCAAAGAAAGGUCUAGGAUGCUGAAAAGAGAGCAGAUCCCGAUCCUUGAGAUUUGAAGAACAAGUGGCCGGUCUCUUUGGCUCCAUCAUCACUUUCCAAAUCUACCUGGCAGGGAGGCUCUAGAGGCUUACAACUGUCUGACCAGCAAACACAGGGUCCAGAGGUGAAUCUCUGCUUUAAGUGGUCAGAGAAGAUGAGCGAGAAGAGUUGGUGUAUCUGUACCCUGCCUCUGACAUCAACCACAUAUAGAGCCUGGAGGUAGUGGAGCAUUCACCGGACCUGACCUCAACUGGACAGAAGAAUGUGGUGGGCUGCUGGUGGUCAACACCGUUUUUCGCUUCCCUCACCCUUCCAGCCUAAUUCAGUGAGGACCAGAG
rnacentral:lncRNA from 1 species